rnacentral:misc_RNA from 1 species
GAUGAAGAACGCAGCGAAAUGCGAUAAGUAAUGUGAAUUGCAGAAUUCAGUGAAUCGUCGAAUCUUUGAACGCACAUUGCGCCCAUUAGUAUUCUAGUGGGCAUGCCUGUUCGAGCGUCAUUUCAACCCUUAAGCCCCCGUUGCUUAGUGUUGGGAGACUGCGAGCGUCACAGCCCGCAGCUCCCCAAAGACAGUGGCAGAGUCAGUCUGAACUCUAGGCGUAGUAAAUCUUUUCUCGCCUCUGCAGUCGGUCUGGCCCUCGCCGUAAAACCCCCCAUUUUUUAAAGGUUGACCUCGGAUCAGGUAGGAAUACCCGCUGAACUUAAGCAUAUCAAUAAGCGGAGGA